AUGCAGCAGUGUGCUGUCCAGGCCUCCCUGCGCUUGUGCCCCUGCACUCCAGUCCCUGAGCCGACUGCCACUGCCCGGGGUGGGGUGGGGCCCGACUCCAGGGCUGCUCCCUCUGCUGCCUACACAGAAGCCCUCCUGCUCCUCUCCCCGCCCCUCCCAGUGAGGGCAGGUGGGAGGUCCCCCUGGGUCCUCGGCGGCCCCCAGCCUUCGGCUUGGAGCUGCUGUCCCUUCGCUCCCGGCCGCCCCUGUGUUAGUGCUGAGUGCACUGCCUGGUGUGGGUGUGCAAGAGCCAGCCCAGUCUCCACCCUGCCGUGUGCUCCAGUCUCAGCGCACCACCGCACCCUGAGGGAGGACUACGGUGACAAGGGGAAAGCCAGCCACUGGAGCCGCAGCCCCGUGCGGCCACCGAGGGAGCGCUUUGAGCUGGGAGAUGGCCGGAAGCCAGUAAAAGAAGAAAAGAUUGAAGAACGAGACCUGCUGUCUGACCUGCAGGACAUCAGCGACAGCGAGAGGAAAACCAGCUCAGCAGAGUCCUCCUCAGCAGAGUCAGGCUCAGGCUCGGAGGAGGAGGAGGAGGAGGAAGAAGAGGAGGAGGAGGAGGAGGGAAGCACCAGCGAGGAGUCAGAAGAGGAGGAAGAGGAGGAAGAGGAGGAGGAGGAGGAGGAGGAGGAGACAGGGAGCAACUCUGAGGAGGUCUCCGAGCAGUCUGCAGGUGAGCGAGCACAGUCUGCAGGUGAGCGGCGGGCGGCCGGGGCGGGGGUGGGGAAUGCAGGAGAAGCAGCCGGAACAGCCAGAGUCCUGUCUGGAAGGACACUGCUGCCUGAAGCCGCUGUCUCUGGGACUCACAGGCGACCCAGGACGGGCAGUGCGCACGCUCGCAGCUCUGUAGACUGCUUGUGAGGAGUCGGGUGUGGGUGCCUGCUUCAGCCUGCCACUGCCUGAGCAGACACCUGUUGUGUUUUUGAGACAGGGUCUUGCCGUGUACCUCAGACUGGCCUUGAACUCACUGUGUAGUCCAGGCUGGCCUUGAACUCCUGCCAAGCCUCCUGCCUCAGCUUCCCGAGUGCUGGGCUCACAGGCGUGUGCCACCUCGCCCGGCUCCAGACACCUAUUUUCUUUUGCAGAAGAAGUGAGUGAUGAAGAAAUGAGUGACGAUGAAGAGCAAGAGAACGAAAACCACAUCAUGGUUGGUGAGUGGCUCCCUG
rnacentral:lncRNA from 1 species